CCUUUAUGUAGACCCAGUCACCUGGUUUUAACAAAUGGCAGGUUUGCUCAGGAUCCUUGGAGCAGGUCUUCUUUCACCUGUAAAUACAGAGACCUAACGCAUUUCAUUAAUGUCUGGCAGUGUUUUGCAGAUCUCACAGCUGCUUGGACACAUUCAAGCCCCCCUCUUUCUUGGCUGUCAGCCAAAUCCUAGCUGUGACUAGUGUCCUUGGGCAGGCCAGUGUCUUAUCUUUGGACCGAGCCUGCCAGCUACAGCGUUGAAUUAACUUGUCCUCCGUUCUUUUUCUUUUCCCCUUCUUGGCUUCUAUUAACCUGUAAAGGAAACUUUCACUUUCCACUCACACACCUUUGUUCAAAAAUGAACACAUAUACAUUGCCUAUUAUACAGCACUUUAGUCUUAUUGUUCAAUGUAUGCCACGUACACACUUCUAGUAAAAUGAUUUUAUUAGGGAGCUUUGGAGCAACAAGCCAGGACAAGCACACUCACUUUUGAGGAGUCCACUUGGUACAACCUCUGGUGUCCAAUAGCUUUCCUUCCUCCCCAGCCCUCUGGCUAGAAAUUUGAGGUAGCCAGAAGGAUCCCAUGUGUAAUAUGAGGAGUGGGUUAACCUUUCAUGUCCUUGCUUUCAAAGACUGUUGGUGUGCGGAUUUUAACAACAAUUUUUUUAAUUAAAAGAUCUGGCCAAUGACAUUUAUUUUUUUUACUUAAUCAAAUGUAUUAAACUUUAGUAUAUCACAUUUUUUUAUAUUAUUCAAACACUUUGUAUUCCAAGUUGAAUAAAACAAGUAUCUGCACUCCUCUUCUGUUUAGUUUUAAAUUAAACUGUCCUAUGAAAAAUUAGACAGCAAUUCCGGCCACAAGACAAACGCAAGACAGAACAUAGAACACAGAACAUAAUUUCUAUUGUGCCGGUAAAUUCAUGAUAUGUUGAAUUGCUUUUCAGCUGGCAUCAGUUUUCUCUCAUUUUCUAAAAGACAAAAAGAACAUAGAUCUACCCCUUCUGGGCAGUCAGUCAUUGCUUAAAAUAUUUCCUUUUUAUACAAAUAUUCUUGUUAAUUGCAGGCAAAACAGAGGAAUUACCCAUAUUUUCUUGUAUUUGUUUCGUAGGCAGCCCAGGUUUCAAUGGCUUCUACCUUAUUAGUUAGGUAAUUUACAUUAAAAUAAAUGCUUUUCAGCUUGCUUUUGGAUCCACAGCUUAAAGAUUCUUACUUUAAAAAGGGCACAAUAAACUUUACCAGACUUUUGAUUGCCUUUUACUUUUAACUCCUGCUGUCAAACACACAGUGACCUGAAAAGGAAGACACCACCUAUUGUAACCCCUUGGAGCCUAAUAAAAUAUUAAUUAAGUAGCACUGUAUAAUUGCAUUCCUUUGAAAAAGGGACCGUUUUCCAUAAAAUGACUGCAAAGAAACCAAGUAUUUUUUUCUUUUUAGUAUUUCACAAAGUUCAACUGCUUAAUUCCCUCCAGCAACUACAGAGUUAACUUCUUACUUUCCUUUCUUAAAUUACUUGCUUAUUUCCCAAAACGACACCAAUCAACUCAGAUUUUACCAUUCCAAGUAUUAUUCCGGAAUUUACAUUUCCCAUUCCUGUAAUUAUUUACUCCUCUUUUUUUUUUUUUUUCACUAUGCCCUCCAAGUUUCCAACCUGUUUUCCAAUCUCUUUAUCUGUUGCCUGCCCGCUUGGGCCCAAUCCUGUUUUUCUCUCUGAACUGUCCCUUCCAUGAGCACCAGCUUUGUCCCACUACCCAUUUAACAAGGAGGGUGGGCUUCUAAACUAGCCCCCAGCUCUCCUGGUCUCUUCUCUUAAAUAUUCUCACUCACAAGGGCUACCCGAGUCCUCCCCCAUGAGGCUUGUCACCCGGACAGAACGCACGGCUAAUUGGCUUGUAACUGGUCCUGGGCAUAGGUCAGAAAGCCGAGGGUAAGCCAGAGGAGGGGUAGAAGCAGGCAUAGCACAGAGCGGGGCUGGAGACCCCUGAGAUAAAUAAGAAAAGGAGGAGGAAAGAGGACGUCCUUACGCAUGCACAUAAGCCCAGUUGUCCGAUACAUACCAAUAAUCAGUCUGGGCUGGAGCUUUGUCCUCCAGUCUUUUCCUAAGUGCUGUUAAUUUGUCCCCAGCAAAGGACCCAUCCAGUGGCCAUUCGAGAGGUCUUUGAGUUGUUAGUGCUGGCCACUCAACCUUGCACAAGAUUACAGCUUUCCUUUUACCUAACCCAUGGGUACCAGAAAUAUUCCUCCAAUUCUCGAGAAUUUCAGCCAAAGGGGUCCCCCUACUUACACUCUGCCCAGAACCCAUAAUGGGCUACCAAAAAGACACCAAAUGUGCUACCUUAUUGCCUAAGCGACAGCCCACACUCCCGCUCCUCGGAGUACUCAAAGGUGAACUCACCCUGUGCUGGCUGGAGCUGUCCGACAGGAGGAGUGUGGUCUCGCUCGUCGGGGUGAGCCUAGCGUCCCAUCUGGGGUGCCAAAAACUGUUGCGAAUUAUAUCUGAUAGGUCAUGCACAAGAACUGCUACGAAUUAUACCUAAUAGGUCACACACACUUCGAGUCUAGGCUGAGGCACACAAACAAAGUCCACAACUGCAGAGUUCAAAAGAUACUAAGUUUAUUACGCUCGAGCGUGGUGCCCCCUUGCUAGUCAGGAGGG